rnacentral:rRNA from 1 species
CCUUGAGGAAGUAAAAGUCGUAACAAGGUCUCCGUUGGUGAACCAGCGGAGGGAUCAUUACCGAGUUUACAACUCCCAAACCCCAAUGUGAACGUUACCAAUCUGUUGCCUCGGCGGGAUUCUCUUGCCCCGGGCGCGUCGCAGCCCCGGAUCCCAUGGCGCCCGCCGGAGGACCAACUCCAAACUCUUUUUUUCUCUCCGUCGCGGCUCCCGUCGCGGCUCUGUUUUAUUUUUGCUCUGAGCCUUUCUCGGCGACCCUAGCGGGCGUCUCGAAAAUGAAUCAAAACUUUCAACAACGGAUCUCUUGGUUCUGGCAUCGAUGAAGAACGCAGCGAAAUGCGAUAAGUAAUGUGAAUUGCAGAAUUCAGUGAAUCAUCGAAUCUUUGAACGCACAUUGCGCCCGCCAGUAUUCUGGCGGGCAUGCCUGUCCGAGCGUCAUUUCAACCCUCGAACCCCUCCGGGGGGUCGGCGUUGGGGAUCGGCCCCUCACCGGGCCGCCCCCGAAAUACAGUGGCGGUCUCGCCGCAGCCUCUCCUGCGCAGUAGUUUGCACACUCGCACCGGGAGCGCGGCGCGGCCACAGCCGUAAAACACCCCAAACUUCUGAAAUGUUGACCUCGGAUCAGGUAGGAAUACCCGCUGAACUUAAGCAUAUCAAUAAGCGGAGGA